rnacentral:snRNA from 1 species
GGGCAUGAGGGCAAUCUGUCACCCCACUGAUCCCCAGGGCUGAUUUAGCUGAUCUGCCUGACUAGGCCAGUGUCCCCUUCCUCUCUCACCACUCCAUGUGCUUCCCUCCCUAAGUCAAAAGAGGAUGACCUUCCAGGAAUAGAGGCGGACUAAUCUUAGGUCAAGGGUAAAGGAGCACUCCCCUGAUAGAACCUCCAAACAAGCUCUCAGAAUUCCUAAUUUCAAAUUAAACUUAUUCAUUUCAGUUACUAAAGGUCAAAAUAGACAUAUUUA